GUUGUAUUCACAAGAGUGUUCCUUUUGUUUUCUGCUACACUUUCAUUUGGAACUUUUUUCUGAAUAUGUCUUUUGUUUAAUUUUUAUCCAGUGUAGCAAAUCUUCAUAAAAAUUAUUUUACUGCCCCUGUAAUAAAGAAAUGAACAAAUGAGUACUCAAUGUAUACUUCUUAUGAAUAUAAUAAAUCCUAAAAGACUCUUGUUUAAAACUAGACUAUACAAUGCGAUGCCAUAGCCUAGGGAUAAUGCACUCAUACCACAUCUUCCAACAUCUAUUUAGAUUGUUAGACUUCACUGUGCUAGCUAAGUUUAGCCGGAAAAUUGAGGGUAGAUAUGGAUACAGGAAAC
rnacentral:lncRNA from 1 species